GAAAGUAACACUUAUCUCGGCAAUAAUGCCAUACUUUUAUGUUUCCUGUCAUUUUAUUAGGGACGGACGAACCUGAGGGACACAGCUGUGCUGACCGUGUUCUGUCUCUUAUGACAAAAAAGAAAAGACUUUUUAUCUAAAGUUUAUCAAAUCAGAAAGUAAAAGAUGAACAUUGUUGUGAUAACAGUGUUAAUUUUACCAACCAUAAUGGAUAUAGAAAUUGACUCAAUAUUAUUAACAUGUUGACCAGCCUGAAGCUGCCGAUCUCCACCUUGUUGCUGCUGCCACAGUGGAUUCAGAGGACAUCAGGUGUUGCAGUGCUUCAUGUAAUGAAAUGAAAAAAGUCACGUUAAAGGAUGUUUUAUGCUGAAAUCAUUGUCAUAUCUGUAGAUAUUAAGGAACAGAGGAGAAACACGAUUAUUUACAGAUACUGUACAAUACAAUAGCCUACAAUAAUUUUUACACAUGUAAUAUGAGCUGUGUUAAGCAGCCAAGACUGGUACUUAUAGUUUAUUCUGUGUUCAGCAGGUGAAAGCACCACAGAUUUCAGCCAAACUGAUGUACUAAAAAAAAUAAACAUUGUACAAAAAAAGUGUUUCGACCACAUCUGUAAUAUUCAAGGUGAUAAUCUCUCACAGUGCUGUUGAUAACAGUCCACAUCA
rnacentral:misc_RNA from 1 species